rnacentral:rRNA from 1 species
UACGUAGGGGGCAAGCGUUGUCCGGAUUUAUUGGGCGUAAAGAGCUCGUAGGCGGUUUGUCGCGUCUGCUGUGAAAACUGGAGGCUCAACCUCCAGCCUGCAGUGGGUACGGGCAGACUAGAGUGUGGUAGGGGAGACUGGAAUUCCUGGUGUAGCGGUGAAAUGCGCAGAUAUCAGGAGGAACACCGAUGGCGAAGGCAGGUCUCUGGGCCACUACUGACGCUGGAGAAAGCGAAAGCAUGGGGAGCAAACAGG